AAUCAACGCUGGCGGCGUGCCUAACACAUGCAAGUCGAACGCGAAAGCCCCGCAAGGGUCAGUAGAGUGGCAAACGGGUGAGUAACGCGUGGGUGACCUGCCUUCGAGUGGGGGAGUAACGUCUCGAAAGGGACGCUAAUACCGCAUGACAUCUUGCCUUUGAAGAGGUGACGAUCAAAGCCGGGGUCGCAAGACCUGGCGCUUGAAGAGGGGCCCGCGUCCGAUUAGCAGUUGGUGAGGUAAUGCUCACCAAGGCGACGAUCGGUAGCCGGCCUAAGAGGGCGGACGGCCACACUGGGACUGAGACACGGCCCAGACUCCUACGGGAGGCAGCAGUGGGGAAUUGUUCGCAAUGGGCGCAAGCCUGACGACGCAACGCCGCGUGGAGGACGAAGAUCUUCGGGUCGU
rnacentral:rRNA from 1 species